rnacentral:rRNA from 1 species
UUAUUUGAGAGUUUGAUCCUGGCUCAGGAUGAACGCUGGCGGCGUGCCUAACACAUGCAAGUUGAGCGAUUUACUUCGGUAAAGAGCGGCGGACGGGUGAGUAACGCGUGGGUAACCUACCCUGUACACACGGAUAACAUACCGAAAGGUAUGCUAAUACGGGAUAAUAUAUUUGAGAGGCAUCUCUUAAAUAUCAAAGGUGAGCCAGUACAGGAUGGACCCGCGUCUGAUUAGCUAGUUGGUAAGGUAACGGCUUACCAAGGCGACGAUCAGUAGCCGACCUGGGAGGGUGAUCGGCCACAUUGGAACUGAGACACGGUCCAAACUCCUACGGGAGGCAGCAGUGGGGAAUAUUGCACAAUGGGCGAAAGCCUGAUGCAGCAACGCCGCGUGAGUGAUGAAGGCCUUCGGG